rnacentral:rRNA from 1 species
UACGGAGGGUGCAAGCGUUGCUCGGAAUUAUUGGGCGUAAAGGGCAGGUAGGUGGUCUCAUUUGUCUGGGGUGAAAGCCUUGGGCUUAACCCAAGAAGUGCCCCGGAAACGGUGAGACUUGAGUGCUGGAGAGGGUCGUGGAAUUCCCGGUGUAGCGGUGAAAUGCGUAGAGAUCGGGAGGAACACCAGAGGCGAAGGCGGCGGCCUGGACAGCAACUGACACUCAACUGCGAAAGCGUGGGGAGCAAACAGG